UUGAUGUAGUGGACUUCUCUACGAGGUAUUAGGAGCUCCAUAUCAGGUCCUGUACCUCCAUACUUGUUCUAAUUUAUUCCUAUUUCAUCCCUGUAUGUCCAAGGCCAAAGAGGGCUUUCAUAUCCCCUUUAUGGUGGUUCGUUUCAAGCUUGUCUUAUGCCUUCUGAUCCAAGCAAUCCAUUCUUCCAUAACCAGACAUGCAAUUUGUUUCAUACACUAUUUGGAUCACCUAUGAACCAUUGGUCCUAGAUGGACCAUGUCGCUUCUUGU
rnacentral:lncRNA from 1 species